rnacentral:rRNA from 1 species
CCUACGGGUGGCAGCAGUGAGGAAUAUUGGUCAAUGGGCGCGAGCCUGAACCAGCCAAGUAGCGUGAAGGAUGACUGCCCUACGGGUUGUAAACUUCUUUUAUAAAGGAAUAAAGUGAGGCACGUGUGCCUUUUUGUAUGUACUUUAUGAAUAAGGAUCGGCUAACUCCGUGCCAGAAGCCGCGGUAAUACGGAGGAUCCGAGCGUUAUCCGGAUUUAUUGGGUUUAAAGGGAGCGUAGAUGGGUUGUUAAGUCAGUUGUGAAAGUUUGCGGCUCAACCGUAAAAUUGCAAUUGAUACUGGCAGUCUUGAGUACAGUUGAGGUAGGCGGAAUUCGUGGUGUAGCGGUGAAAGGCUUAGAUAUCACGAAGAACUCCGAUUGCGAAGGCAGCCUGCUGGACUGUAACUGACGCUGAUGCUCGAAAGUGUGGGUAUCAAACAGGAUUAGAUACCCCUGUAGUC